UUAUUUUCAGAUCGUUCCAGCUUUCAGUAUGGCAAUUUCUUUCUUUACUUGUGUUUUCUUUCCAUGCCAGUGUUUAGCAUUGUUUUCCCUAUCGUGUUCCCUCUGUUCAUUGUGUUUGUCUCUUCAUGUUCCAAGUCUACUGCUCACGCUUGCUGCUAUACACUCCUGCCUCACUUCCUGCUAUGCCCAUCCCCGCCUCGCCUUCCCCAUGGCUUUCUUGCUCUGCAUUCACCACCAAACCAAGUUCGAGCCCUGGCUUCCACUACUCUUCCGUAAAUCCUGUUAACCUUCAAUUCUUGUGUCUGUGUUCUGAAUUUGGGUCCUCUCGUCACUGUGUUCAUCUUAACAGAAUGAUCUGGCGACCAUGGACCCAGCAGAACUAGUUUCCCCGCAUCCAGCCUUGUUCCACCACGGCGCCCUGCUUGGCCGGCAUAACCAACAGCUUCUUGCCCUCUUUGAGAGCUACCAAGUCCUGAGGAACAAUAUUGGGCUCCUCUCCAAGAAACUUAACUGCAUCCUCCCCCAACUGGCCCAGGCCCCCCCUGGCCCCCAGCCCAGUCAGCCUACCCCUGUGGCCCCAAGUUCUCCCAGUCCACCUUAUGCAGGUGGGCUAGGGAGAUUUAGGUACUUCCUAUUUCAGUGUUGCCUUGCGUUUGCUCAGUGCCAUAACACCUAUUCCACUGACAAAGCCAGGGUAGCCUAUAUCAUGGGGCUUCUUAGGGGAGAUGCCCUAGCCUGUGCCACUAGCGUGUAGGAUAGGCAACCAGCUCUCUGGUCCUUCCUCUAUUCCUUCACCUAAGAACAUUGCCAUGUUUUCGACCACCCUGUCAAAGGGAAUGAUACUGCUAAGUACCUGCUUUCCCUCUGCCAGGGGCCUCACAAGGGUGGAGAUCCAUGUCCUGGACAAUGUGCCCUCUUUGGCUAAAAAAGGGGGGCUACUGGUGAGCUGAACAUCUGCUUCUCCGGCCUCCCUGUUCCACUUCCAGAUCCCAAUCUCCCUGUGCAACAACCAGCUGUCCAUUACCCUGAUGGCGCUGAUCGACUCAGGCACUGAGGACAGUUUCAUAGAUCUGGAGCUAGCUUCCAAGUCUGGCCUCCUCCUGGAACCACUGGACCACCCCCGUGAUGGUACACGCACUGGAUGGAAGAUUCUUAGCACGGGUCACCCAUUGCACCACCCUGUUACUCCUGGUUCUCUCGGGAAAUCACUGCAAGCAGGUCCGGCUCAACCUCAUCUUCUACCCAUGUACUCCACUGGUGUUGGGUCACUCCUGGCUUAAGAAACACAACCCAUUAAGUGGAGUCCCUUCUGCCACUCCUUGUGCCUGAAAUUAGACCUUCCACCCAUUACGGCUGCAACAGCUCCUCCAACCCUAAGCCCUCCAGAUAUUUCGUCCGUGCCCCCCAAAAAGGAUAAAGUCCCUCUGCCCCUGUAUUGAUUACUGACGCCUAAAUAACAUCACCAUAAAAAAUAAGUACCCCCUGCCACUCUUCAGUUCAUCCUUCAAGCCUUUGCAUAGUGCCACCAUCUUCACUAAACUGGACCUGUGGAACACGUACCAUCUGGUCAAGAUCAAUGACAUACUUUGGAACUUCCUGAACUGCUUUGUCUUUGUGUACCUGGACGACAUCCUGGUUUUCAACCAAAACCCCACUGAGCACAGCCACUGUGUUCAACAAGUCCUACAGUGACUCCUGGAGAACUGCCUGUUUUUCAAAGCAGAAAAGUGCAAGUUCCAUGCCCACUCAGUCACCUUCCUGUGGUACAUUAUUGAGAACAGGUGAGUUAAGGCCAAUCCCGAGAAGAUCCAAGCUGUAGUCGAGAGGCCGAGACCAACCACCCUGAAACAGCUCCAAUGAUUCCUUGGGUUCACUAAUUUUUACCGGUGCUUCAUCAGGGAAUAUAGCCAGGUCAUGGCACUCCUCACUAGGCUCAGAUCCACCUCAACUCCUUUCAUGUGGAGCCCUAGUCAUAAGUCACCUUCAAUAAGCUCAAAGAGCUGUUCACCUUUGCCCCUCUGCUCAACCAACCAGAUCCCUUGUGGCAAUUUAUUUUGGAGGUGGACAUCUCCGAUUCAGGUGUGGGUGCCGGGCUCUCCCAACAGUCAGUUCCAGACCAGAAACUUCAUCUGUGCUCCUUAUUUUCUCGUCGCCUCUCCCCCACAGAAAGCAACUACUAUGUGGGGAAUUGUGUGUUGCUGGCUGUGAAGCUGGCCUUUGUAGAGUGGAGACACUGACUCAAGGGGGCUGAGCAGCCUUUCAUCAUUUGGACUGACCAUAAGAACCUGGCCUACAUCCAGACUGCCAAUUGCCUCAACUCCUGCCAGGCUUGCUGGGCCCUAUUCUUUGGGCGGUUUACUUUCACAAUCACCUAUCAUCCCGGCUCUAAGAAUGGUAAGCCAGAUGCCCUGUCCUGCCACAGCCUGUGUGGUGGGGGCUGUCACUUGGGAGAUUGAGUCUGUUAUUUGGAGAGUCCUACGCACCCAACCUGACCCAGGUAAUGGGCCCCACAGCCACUUAUUAUCCAGUAGAUUCACUGUGAGAAACCACUGAGCUUCUUGUCAGCCACAUGUUCUGCCUGCACAGCAUACUCCAUGACAUUGUUUCCAACAACAGGAACCAGUUCAUUUCCCAAGUGUGGAAAUCAUUCUGUAAUGUCCUAGGGGCCACUGUCAGUUUAUACUUGGGAUUUCACCCCAGACCAAUGGCCAGGCAGAGCAGGCAAAUCAGGAGUUGGAAGCAGCACUACGGUGUGUCACAGUCAAUAACCCCUCUACCUGGAGUUCCCAGUUACCAUGGGUGGAGUAUGCCCACAACUCCCUGACCAGUACCACCACUGGUAUGUCACCCUUUGAGUGCUCCCUGGGUUAUCAGCUUCCUGUGUUCCCCAGCCAGGAAGAUGACGAUGCAGGCACCUCCAUGCAAGCCUACCUCCGCCGCUGCCACAGGAUCUGGAAAGAGGCCUGUUCUGCCCUGAUCUGCUCCACUGAAUGCAACCGCCAUCACGUCCCAGCACCCAACUACCUGCCAGGUCAAAGGAUGUAGCUGUCAGCCAAGGACAUCCCUCUGAAGGGUGAGGCCAAGAAACUUUCUUCCCAUUAUCUGGGCCCCUUCAUGGUCAAAAGCAUCAUCAAUCCCUCUGUAGUUAAGCUCAAGCUCCACAGGUCCCUGCCAUACACCCUACUCUUCACGUCUCCCAACUCAAGCCGGUUCACGUCAGCUCCCUGAGCCCUCCUUCUGACCCACCAGAGUCACGAUCAACCACCGUGCUUACACCAUCAGGAGGCUGCUGGAUGUGCACCAUAGAGAAUGAGGCCUCACACCUCUCUGAUUAAAGCAUUGGUCACACCUGUUCCUCAUCUUCUCACCUCAUCAACAGUGUAUAUAAACCCCAGUUUUUCAGCCACUCAUUGCACGAUUGUUCCAGCUUUCAGUCUACUGCUUAUACUUCCUGCUGUUCACUCCUGGCUCACUUCCUGCUACGCCCAGCCCCACCUCGCCUUCCCUGUGGCUCACACUGCCGACGCCCGUUUCAUCCCUGUGGCGCUUUGGCAGUGAUAGGAUUCCUCUGAUUCCCAGUGGAUGACAAUGACUCCUCCGUCCUCCCCGGCAACCGCUCAAGCACCACCACCUCUCUCAAUCUGCGCUGCAGUCCUCGCACAGCGGUGAGGGCUCCCUGGCAGCAUGUCCCUCCUCCUUCCAAGUUUCAGCACUCCUGUAACAAACUUCACACACAGGCAAGGAGUAGAUGGGAACUGGCUGAAGAUAAACGUAAAAUUUAAUAAUAAACAAAAUUCAAACAUAACAUAAACCACACAAACAGAACUCAAACAGAAAGUGCACAUGCGUCUCUCUCGCUCUCUCUCUCUCCCUCUGCCACUUCCAGCCUCUUCUUUUCCACUCUCUUCCAUUGAUUAGAGAAUUCAGUGCCAGGUGUGCAUCCUCACAGCCUGGCUCCUCCCUCCUUCUCCUCACAAUUAUGUACAUUGCAACAAAAGAUGAAAGAGUUACAGGAAAGAGCACAGGGAGCAUUGGUGAGAACCCUUGCAGAUAUCGAUGCACUGCCUUCUUCAUUAACCUAGAAUGCUCAACAGUGCAACAAAAGCAGAUGGUCUGUCUUUGCCUUCCCAAUGGCAGUGACUACUGACAUCACAGAAAUGCAGAAGCACACAAUGGAUUUUCACUCUGCCCUUUACACUGCAGAAAGCUAUGCUUCAGACUGCACAACUUUUACAUGGAGUUUCUCAAUGGAUGCUGAAUCAAAAGUUGCAUUAGAAUCUGCCAUCAAACCGGAAGAACUCUGCACUGCAGUGAGUCAGCUCUGCUCAGGUCGGUCGGUGUGUAUUGAUGGCUUUCUAUCAACUUUUAUAAGGACUUCUGGAAC
ensembl:lncRNA